AUGGCGGCGGCGGAGGACACGGCGGCGGCGGCGGAGGGCGCGCCGCCGCUGCAUCUCUUCAACUCGAAGACGAAGAAGAAGGAGCUCUUCGUGCCGCGCGUCAAUGGCAAGGUCGGCAUGUACGUCUGCGGCGUCACGCCCUACGACUCGAGCCACGUCGGCCACGCACGCGCCUACGUCGCCUUCGACGUGCUCUAUCGAUAUCUCAACUUCUUGGGGUACGAAGUUAAUUACGUGCGCAACUUCACCGACGUUGAUGAUAAGAUUAUCAAACGGGCGGAACAGAAUGGUGAAGACACAUCCAGUUUGUGCACUCGGUUUAUUAAUGAGUUUCAUACUCACAUGACUGAGCUGCAGUGCUUGCCUCCCACUGUCGAGCCUCGUGUAACGGAACAUAUCAAAGAUAUUGUAGAGUUAAUCACCGAGAUAAUCAAGAAUGACAAAGGCUAUGUUGUAGACGGCAACGUUUACUUUUCUGUCAGUAGUUUUCCUGAAUAUCUCAGUUUAUCUGGUAGGAAGCAAGAUGAUAAUCUUGCUGGUUCACGGGUUGCUGUUGAUCCAAAAAAGCGGAACGAUAAAGACUUUGCAUUGUGGAAGGCUGCUAAGGAGGGUGAGCCUUCAUGGGAGAGCCCUUGGGGUGAUGGAAGACCAGGAUGGCAUAUUGAAUGCAGCGCAAUGAGUGCUCGCUAUUUAGGACAUGUAUUUGAUAUCCAUGGUGGAGGGAAAGAUCUGAUAUUUCCUCAUCAUGAGAAUGAGCUUGCACAAAGCCGAGCGGCUUAUCCAGAAAGUGAGGUCAAAUGCUGGAUGCAUAAUGGUUUUAUUAACAACUGUGGCGAGAAAAUGUCGAAAUCAGCUAAUAACUUCGUCACGAUCAGAAGCAUUAUGACUCAGUACCAUCCUAUGGCUUUAAGAUUUUUCUUGGUACGCGCACAUUAUAAAUCUGACAUGAAUUACUCUGAUGAAGCACUAGAGAUUGCAUCUGAUCGUGUAUACUACAUUUAUAAGACCUUACAUGACUGCGAUGAAACGGUGUCUCUGUAUCGUGAAGAGAAUAUAUCUGUCCCCGUCCCAGCUGAGGAGCAAAAACUGGUUGACGGUAAAUUAAUCCUUUUUUUAAUUGUGGUCAAGCAAAAACUGGAACAACAAAAGAAGAAGCAACAGCAGAAGAAGCAGCAGCAGCAGCAGAUACCACAGAACAAGCCAGAAGACCACAUUCAAGCUCUGGCUGCGCUGAGUGCCGAGAUUAAAAGCAAACUGUCCAUCCUCGGCCUGAUGCCACCAUCACCUUUGGCAGAGGAACUGGAGCAUCUGAAGGAAAAAGCGUUGACGCGAGCAGGGCUGACGGAGGAGUCGCUGCGCGAGCAGAUUGAGCAGAGAGUCGCGGCAAGGAACAGCAAGCAGUUUGACGUUUCGGAUCAUAUCAGGAAGGACCUUGCCAGCAAAGGCAUCGCCCUGAUGGAUGAGCCUACUGGUACGGUGUGGAGACCAUGCGAACGAGAGUAG
rnacentral:rRNA from 1 species